rnacentral:lncRNA from 1 species
UAUCUACUGUGGAUACUAAUAGGACCUGAACCAUUAUGGCAAAGAAAAGUUUGAUUCAGAGGAAGGAAAAGAGGCAAAAAUUGGAACAGAAAUAUCAUUUGAUUCGUCGAUCCUAAAAAAAAAAAAUGCAAAGUUUCAUCGUUGAGUGACAAAUGGGAAAUUUAUGGAAAGUUACAAUCCCCACCACGGAAUAGUGCACCUGCACGCCUUCAUCGACGUUAUUUUUCGA